GUGGUGGCUCAGUGGCGGAGCGCUUGCCUCACAUGCAUGAGUCACUGGGUUCGAUUCUCAGGACCACA
rnacentral:tRNA from 1 species